GGCUCAGGAUGAACGCUAGCGGCAGGCUUAACACAUGCAAGUCGAGGGUAGAGGAAGCUUGCUUCCUUGAGACCGGCGCACGGGUGCGUAACGCGUAUACAAUCUACCUUUUACAGAGGGAUAGCCCAGAGAAAUUUGGAUUAAUACCUCAUAGUAUUUUUGAAUCGCAUGAUUUGAUUAUUAAAGUUCCAACGGUAAAAAGAUGAGUAUGCGUCCCAUUAGCUAGAUGGUAAGGUAACGGCUUACCAAGGCUACGAUGGGUAGGGGUCCUGAGAGGGAGAUCCCCCACACUGGUACUGAGACACGGACCAGACUCCUACGGGAGGCAGCAGUGAGGAAUAUUGGACAAUGGGCGCAAGCCUGAUCCAGCCAUGCCGCGUGCAGGAUGACGGUCCUAUGGAUUGUAAACUGCUUUUGUACAGGAAGAAACACUCCCUCGUGAGGGAGCUUGACGGUACCGUAAGAAUAAGCACCGGCUAACUACGUG
rnacentral:rRNA from 1 species